rnacentral:rRNA from 1 species
UCCAGACUCCUACGGGAGGCAGCAGUGGGGGAUAUUGCACAAUGGGGGGAACCCUGAUGCAGCGACGCCGCGUGGGUGAAGGAGCGUUUCGGCGCGUAAAGCCCUAUCGGCAGGGAAGAAGGAGGACGGUACCUGACUAAGAAGCCCCGGCUAACUACGUGCCAGCAGCCGCGGUAAUACGUAGGGGGCGAGCGUUAUCCGGAUUCACUGGGUGUAAAGGGAGCGUAGACGGCCAAGCAAGCCAGGGGUGAAAGCCCGGGGCCCAACCCCGGGACCGCACCGGAUACUGCCGGACUCGAGUGCCGGAGGGGCAGGCGGAAUUCCUGGUGUAGCGGUGAAAUGCGCAGAUAUCAGGAGGAACACCGGUGGCGAAGGCGGCCUGCUGGACGGUAACUGACGCUGAGGCUCGAAAGCGUGGGGAGCGAACAGGAUUAGAUACCCUCGUA